rnacentral:snoRNA from 1 species
GCCCUCCAGUUUCCUUCCUCAUAAACUCUAAGUUCUGGUCUGGGUGGUGACAAAAGGAAGAAAAGUAACAUUGAAUCUGAAAUCAAGCUGACGUAACACAUGAGCUAAGUUCAAACAGUU